rnacentral:rRNA from 1 species
GACGAACGCUGGCGGCGUGCCUAAUACAUGCAAGUAGAACGCUGAAGAGAGGAGCUUGCUCUUCUUGGAUGAGUUGCGAACGGGUGAGUAACGCGUAGGUAACCUGCCUUGUAGCGGGGGAUAACUAUUGGAAACGAUAGCUAAUACCGCAUAACAAUGGAUGACACAUGUCAUUUAUUUGAAAGGGGCAAUUGCUCCACUACAAGAUGGACCUGCGUUGUAUUAGCUAGUAGGUGAGGCAAUGGCUCACCUAGGCGACGAUACAUAGCCGACCUGAGAGGGUGGUCGGCCACCCUGGGACUGAGACACGGCCCAGACUCCUACGGGAGGCAGCAGUAGGGAAUCUUCGGCAAUGGGGGCAACCCUGACCGAGCAACGCCGCGUGAGUGAAGAAGGUUUUCGGAUCGUAAAGCUCUGUUGUAAGUCAAGAACGGGUGUGAGAGUGGAAAGUUCACACUGUGACGGUAGCUUACCAGAAAGGGACGGCUAACUACGUG